GUCUCGGUGGCGCAGUGGAGAGCGUGCGGGAUUUCAAAUACAAUGGUUGUGGGUUCGAAUCCCAUCGUCGACG
rnacentral:tRNA from 1 species